AGAAGAUUAUUCAUCAUUGCACAGCAGUGAAAUAUCCACCGUACCUGCAUCUGCUUCAUAUACAAUUUAUCACGUGGAUAUAACAGAAGCUGCACCGAAAUCUACCAACAUCCACCAUAUGGACAACAUGUUUACCGAAGAGAAGGGAGAUGUAUAUGAAAGUAAAUCUACAUCUUUCAUUGCUGGUAUCAUCAGUCUUCUGAUCGUUGCGGGGCUGUUACUAGUUGUGUACGCAAUGACGUAUCUACAUAAAGUCAAUUGCAUAGUUCAAGGAGAUACAGCGAGUAAAAGCACAUUUUAAAGAGAUGAAACUUAUGACCCUCACGUUCAAUUAAAAUAUGACCGCAUGAAUUAUCUUUUAUGAACAUGUAUAUAAAAGAAUAACAAUGGAAUUAAAGACUCAAGUUUUGUAUCUGUGAUGAAGUUAAUUUUCAUUUUAGUUAGUUUUUUGUGGUAUUGUCUGUAAAUAGUUGUUUAUGCUUGUAAGGUGUUUCCGUAAUGUGAUUGUUGGUCGAUAAGGCUAUUUUUAACAUACCGGUUUGGUCAGUCAGAGUAGCAGCUGUUUGUCAAGCGUGCGGCCACGUUUUCAUGCUGUCCAGCAGGGGUCUUUUCUUGGCGAAUUCCAGAAGUUAGUCUGGGUAAUGGGUAGCCAGAGAGACAAACAUUUUACUGUGUGGGCAUAGGUGUUCUCCAGCCGGUAAGCUAUUUUUGUGUGAAAAUAUUUGCGAGGUUUCGGGUUAAUUUUCUCGUGUAUUGUGUUUUCUAUUUUGUUGUUAACCAAGUCACUUUGUGUAUAGGUUUUAGGUUAAGUUAUUGCUAUUUCAGUGCAGAGGGGAUUUAAGAAGCUAUCUGGGCCAUAUCAGGCAGUACUCUCAGCGUUUCAGUAGGUGUUCGGCGUGGGAAUCAAAACACGUGAGACCGCACUGUACAUGGGUGUUCCACGUGGUGGACUUGGCAAUUAUUUUGUGGGCCUAGUGUUACCAUUGGUUUGAAGUCGGCGUUAUAACCAACAUCGUUGUCAUGUGAUAGACCUGUGAGUCCGGGACUGGAAGCGGAGGGGCUGUUCGCGCUGUAUGGAGGCCUGGUGGUGCAAAGUGUGACGUGGCGUUAAAUUGAAUUGUGCUGAGUAGCCAAACUUUCAUAUUGAGUUUCAGUAAAUUAACAUUUUAUCAAAAAGGAAUUUGAGAAAUUUGUACAAAACAUAAUUUACUACUGUUUAACUUUUUCUGUAGUUAGCGAAAUUAGCUAUAUUUGAACCAUUAUAUAAUACAUUUAUUACCAGUUAUAUUUUCAGUUAUACGUUUUAUUGAUUGUCAAUAUUGCCAGGUUUAUUUUACCAAUUUAUAUUUCUUUCUCGGUGAGAGAGUAUGGGUGUAUGUGAAAGUGUGAUUUCUUUGUUUUUCAAACAUCUUUAUAUUUCUUAUCUUAUUGCUAAAUAAACUUUCUUUUUAUUUAUUCUACGAUUGAUCAUUUUUUCUAUUGCCUACACAAAUUCCAAAAGAACUUCAUUACAGUAUCAUUCAGACUUCUUAUUUCUACCGAUAAAAACAAAAUAAACGCAUGGUACUAAAUUUACGUUGAAUCUCAUCAAAUAAUUUUAAAACAUGUUUUAGGUAAAGAAUGAAUGUUUUAAUUACUCAUUUUAACAUCUAAGCUAUUAUUUCUAGAAACAUAUUAGGUAGAAUUUGAGGACAAUAGAACUUGUUUUCAUAAAAUCUUAAAACAGUUUCUAUAACUCUCGAUCGCUGUAAGUUUCCAUUGCACGUAUUUCAAAGCUUUAUUGUUAUACGUAACUGCUUUUUAAGAUUUGUCACGUCCGAAUGAUGCUUAAUGCAACGAUGGAAUAGGAUGAAUAGAAGCAAAGUGUGUAUCCCACUUCUACCAUGGCCGUGUCAAACCUAUGAUGUAGAUAUAUAUACUGACUGCUCCUUCGUCAAACGAAGGCAAUCACUGGUUUUUGGAUAUGACCUCCAACACGGAUUCCGUGUGACAGCAGGCUUUGGUAUGAUCAAGAACCAUCACUGCUACAACACUGAGCGCAAAGCAUAGGUCUAACUUUGUGGUACUUCACCUAGAGGUGAUAAUGUCUCAAUGUCAGUGAAAAAUUCUCAACGGCAACUAAACGGAAAAUAUAACCCACAUCGUGUACUUUUAUUACAAUUAUGUGUGUCAUUAAACCAUUGAAGUCAAACCAUAUGCUGAACGUGACUAUAUAGAUACAUGUAUUUGCUCAAACAGGAAGUCAAAUCAGACUCUAAACCUAAUUAUAUAGAUCUGGGUUAAGAUGGCAACAUUGAAGUCAUAUCAAACUUUUGAACAUGACUACAAAUCAGACUCUAAAUGCGAUUAAACUUCAAUGUUAACAUAUGUUCUUCCACAUAUUUAUUUGAAAGCUACUGCUGACAGUCAAUUUAUUCUUUCUGUAUAUUCCCUAUACUUAGUCUACGAGUUAAAACUCUGUAGAUUUUAUCAAUCAAUCAAUGAAUAUUAAUAAAAUGAUUUCAGUUCAAUCUUCACAUUUUGUGCAGUGUUUUCUGGAGGGAUAUGACGCUGGACAU